rnacentral:rRNA from 1 species
GACAGAGGGUGCAAACGUUGUUCGGAAUUACUGGGCGUAAAGCGUGUGUAGGCGGCCGGGCAAGUCGGAUGUGAAAGCCCAGGGCUCAACCCUGGAAGUGCACUCGAUACUGCUUGGCUAGAGUGUCGGAGAGGUUGGUGGAAUUCUCGGUGUAGAGGUGAAAUUCGUAGAUAUUGGGAAGAACACCGGUGGCGAAGGCGGCGACCUGGUCUUUUACUGACGCUGAGGCGCGAAAGCGUGGGGAGCAAACAGG